AUUGAACGCUGGCGGCAGGCCUAACACAUGCAAGUCGAGCGAGCGGCGGACGGGUGAGUAAUGUCUGGGAAACUGCCUGAUGGAGGGGGAUAACUACUGGAAACGGUAGCUAAUACCGCAUACCAUCAGAUGUGCCCAGAUGGGAUGAGCUAGUAGGGGGGGUAAUGGCUCACCUAGGCGACGCUCCCUAGCUGGUCUGAGAGGAUGACCAGCCACACGGGAACCGAGGAACGUUCCAGACUCCUCCGGGAGGCAGCAGUGGGGAAUAUUGCACAAUGGGCGCAAGCCUGAUGCAGCCAUGCCGCGGGUGUGAAGAAGGCCUUCGGGUUGUAAAGCACGUUCAGCGGGGAGGCGUUACCCGCAGAAGAAGCACCGGCUAACUCCGUGCCAGCAGCCGCGGUAAUAC
rnacentral:rRNA from 1 species